CGGGACGGGUGAGUGAUGCUUGGGAAUCUGGCUUAUGGAGGGGGAUAACGACGGGAAACUGUCGCUAAUACCGCGUAGAAUCGAGAGAUGAAAGUGCGGGACCGCAAGGCCGCAUGCCAUAGGAUGAGCCCAAGUGGGAUUAGGUAGUUGGUGGGGUAAAGGCCUACCAAGCCGACGAUCUCUAGCUGGUCUGAGAGGAUGACCAGCCACACCGGGACUGAGACACGGCCCGG
rnacentral:rRNA from 1 species